AUUGAACGCUGGCGGCAGGCCUAACACAUGCAAGUCGAGCGGAUGACGGGAGCUUGCUCCUUGAUUCAGCGGCGGACGGGUGAGUAAUGCCUAGGAAUCUGCCUGGUAGUGGGGGACAACGUUCCGAAAGGGGCGCUAAUACCGCAUACGUCCUACGGGAGAAAGUGGGGGAUCUUCGGACCUCACGCUAUCAGAUGAGCCUAGGUCGGAUUAGCGAGUUGGUGAGGUAAAGGCUCACCAAGGCGACGAUCCGUAACUGGUCUGAGAGGAUGAUCAGUCACACUGGAACUGAGACACGGUCCAGACUCCUACGGGAGGCAGCAGUGGGGAAUAUUGGACAAUGGGCGAAAGCCUGAUCCAGCCAUGCCGCGUGUGUGAAGAAGGUCUUCGGAUUGUAAAGCACUUUAAGUUGGGAGGAAGGGCAGUAAGUUAAUACCUUGCUGUUUUGACGUUACCGACAGAAUAAGCACCGGCUAACUCUGUG
rnacentral:rRNA from 1 species